CUAGGGAGACCAGAUAGCAACUAUGAAAAAACGGGACGGGGGCGGGGAGUAAUAGGCACCUAUAUAAGAAAAAGUCUCAAAAAACGGGACUGUCCUUUUAAAAAUGGGACAUCUGGUCACCCUAUUCUAAAGAGAAUUCCU